GGACGAACGCUGGCGGCGUGCUUAACACAUGCAAGUCGAGCGGUAAGGCUCCUUCGGGAGUACACGAGCGGCGAACGGGUGAGUAACACGUGAGCAAUCUGCCCUUCUCUUCGGAAUAACCAUUGGAAACGAUGGCUAAUGCCGAAUACGACCUCCUUCCGCAUGAUCGGAGGUGGAAAGCUCCGGCGGAGAAGGAUGAGCUCGCGGCCUAUCAGCUAGUUGGCGGGUAACGGCCCACCAAGGCGACGACGGGUAGCCGGCCUGAGAGGGUGACCGGCCACACUGGGACUGAGACACGGCCCAGACUCCUACGGGAGGCAGCAGUGGGGAAUAGUUGGACAAGU
rnacentral:rRNA from 1 species